rnacentral:rRNA from 1 species
GUACGGGAGGCAGCAGUGGGGAAUUUUCCGCAAUGGGCGAAAGCCUGACGGAGCAAUACCGCGUGAGGGAUGACGGCCUAUGGGUUGUAAACCUCUUUUUUCAGGGAGGAAUCAAUGACGUGUACCUGAAGAAUAAGCAUCGGCUAACUCCGUGCCAGCAGCCGCGGUAAGACGGAGGAUGCAAGUGUUAUCCGGAAUCACUGGGCGUAAAGCGUCUGUAGGUGGUCAAAUAAGUCAACUGUUAAAUCUUGAGGCUUAACCUCAAAAUCGCAGUCGAAACUAUUCGACUAGAGUAUAGUAGGGGUAAAGGGAAUUUCCAGUGGAGCGGUGAAAUGCGUAGAGAUUGGAAAGAACACCGAUGGCGAAGGCACUUUACUGGGCUAUUACUAACACUGAGAGACGAAAGCUAGGGUAGCAAAUGGGAUUAGAUACCCUGGU